rnacentral:sRNA from 1 species
CUUGUGCUGUCGCGGCGAUCGAAUAUGUCAGCCAUCUUGACGUCACCAUCUAUAUCACCCUCGUGUUUGGAAUAAUGGCCGUUUCCAUGCUCAACAAAAUGAAGAAAUUCCCCCUUGCUCCGGGCGUGGGAUUGGAACUGGUCUUGGGUGUCUGUGGUGUUACGUCGCUGGAGGACAACCGGGUCGUUGGAGAAUGAAAACCAUAUCCCAAAACUUCCGUUGCGGUCGCUAGCCUCGAAUGGGAUAUACACGGCUAGGAAAUCCUCAUGCAAUGACCGUACGGGGUAUGGCAGUCGGCUGGUUGCGUAACUUGCGUUUGAGGGAAAAUGUGGCAUGAAUGCUUUGCUGUAUUGACUGAGUAUAUUUCAGCUCCAGGCUGGGUUUGACGGAUGGCACUGGAUGUCAAAAGCACCAAUGGGAGUUUUGUGAGGAGGCC